AGAGGAUUGCUACCUGGUGAGAGUGGACACACAAGAGAGCCUGAGAGCUUUAACUGAGAGUUGAAGUUAUUCUGGAGGAGGAAGAAGGUGGUGUGACCAACCCAUGAGGGUUUGCAUCGGGGGACAAAUGUUGAGUGCAGCAUUUGAAUGGCACGCCGUCUUCUCCAGACAGUGGUCAUGAAUUAAAAUGGAUAUCCAACUGUUCCAUGAGGCAACGAAUGGGGAUUUUACAUAUUAAUCUCAUUCUUUAGAUCAGCAUUGUCUGCUGGAGCUCUCUGCUACCUGGGAAGGCUCUGCAUUUGGGCUGUCAAAGCCACAAGCUCAGACAAUGAAGAUGGCAAACUGAAGGUGAACACUUCUUUCAAGUCAGUCACAAGAGGCUUAUGUGUUGGACUGUGUCUAUGGAUAUCCUAUUGCAGAACAUGGCGUUAGAUUAGUGAGAGCAGUCUUCCUCUAUAGGCACAACUUUGCAUCAGACAUUUGAUGGGAGAGGUCCAUCUUUGAAGGGAAGUUUUAUUUAAGUCUGUCCCUGGAUCCACAUCAUCCGUACGUCUGUCUACAGGGCAAAAAACUUCAUCUUUCAUGAGUGCAAUUUCAAACUUGGUGCCAACGAGAGACAUCUUCCCUGGACUCAAAUGCGCGAAGCCUGAACAGGACAUCUUGAGUGUUAGCUUCUCUGGGAUGGCUGCGGUGUGCAGCACAUUUUUGUUAAGGUGUUAUUCAAAGUUUCUGAUUAACAUAAGUUUUUCUUAAAAUUAUACAAAAACAUAAUACCAUGAUUAUGGAAAUAAAAAGCCACCCACAAGCUUA
rnacentral:lncRNA from 1 species